ACUAUUCCUAGGCUUUCUCUUCGUUUUCUUUGUACCAUUGAGUUGGCAUUUGUAACUAACUUUUGUGUGACCCAAUGUACCGCAUCUUUUGCACCUACGUUUUCCUCUUACCAUCGUUUUGGGCUUUUCUUGUUCAGUUGGUUUUGCCUUUGAACUGAUGCCACCUUCAUCAUGUUUUGUCUCUGAACUGUUGCCGCCUUGAAGGGAACUUUUGAACCUCAAAUUUCUGUCUGCCAACAGUUCUUUUGCAAAUUGGUGCACCCAUAUCAAAUGGAAUUUCUACUGUGGGCCAUUGUGACUUGUCAGGCAGUGGCUCUAUCAAUCUUUUAUAUGCCUAUCUGAACAUUGGAACAGAGUAGUAUUCAUGAACAAAUCCUCAAGCUUCACAUUUCUGUUUUGCACUGCUGUUAGCAAGGCCAAUGCAUGCUCGCAAGGCUUGCCAGUAUGUUGCUACUCUUCACAAGUGCAGUCAUGUAAAUGUUCCUUGAUAGCAUGUCGAUCAUGAUGAUUGUGGCUGCUGUCGUACACCUCUGCAUCAUGUAAGUCAGCUUUCACAACAGUUAAGUGUCCCAACCCUCUAGUUCUUGCAUUCAAUUGGUGGAGGACAGCUGGUAGUAUCUUGCCUUGAAGUCGUUCUCCAAUUUUUCUUAUCUUCUCCCGUGGUAUCAUUAUCAUUUCCCUUAUCUUAUCAACAUGAUCAGUCACUGGCAAGUCCUUUAUGUCUCUACUCUCUAAUCCAAUUGUUGAAACACUCCGCUAGAUUGUUAGUAAUAUAAUCACACUUAAUUUCUUGGUUGAAGUCACAUCUCAUCCAUUUCAGUGAAUGGUGUUCAUCAAGUCUCAACUGCAGGGUACAUACGUGAAUAAAUGACACCACUAUAUCUCUUCAUAAAGUUUUGCGUGAGGUACCUAAAACAUUCCCUUUGAUUUGCAUAAGGAAACACUUGUACCACUGCCUUUUCUAAUCCCUUACAAGCAUCUGUGCAAAUUGCUAGCUGGGGCAUGUCUCCUAUAGCCCUACGCAACUGCUUCAUAAACCAAACCCAGUUAUACUCUGGUUCAGAUUGUAUUAAUCCAAAUGCAACAGGAUACAUCCAGUUAUGACCAUCUAUAUCUGUUACUGAUUCCAAUUGGCCGUUCCACCUACCAUUUAGUGCAGAUAAGGCCUACAUCCUGCUAAAAAACCCUCAAUGCAAGGAGCAAGUGCACAAUAAAAUCGAGUUAGAGGGGCGACCUAUCUUUGGUUAGCAGUUCGAACAGCCGAAAUACGUAAACAAAACCACAUAGCAGAAUAGAUUAUAUACCUUAGGUUCAUGUCCCAAGAGUUGGAGGUGGGUUCCAUGUCCAAAUCUGGCAUAGCACCACCUCUCCAUGGGCAAUGGAUCACAGAUUUAGAGCCAACAUCACAAAAUCUAUUGGUUCAUGCGUCCAAAAAAACAAGGGAUUUUAGAAAUCGAAGGUGGAUAACAGAAACAGAGGGAAUACAACUGGAACACCAUUCUUACCUCAAAUCUGCUGCCUGUGGGCUUGGAGGAGAACCAAAUGUUGAGUUAUGCGUGCUUGAGUGUCCAAUCCUCUGUGCGCCGCCGGGGAGAACACAACUCUCGUUCAUUUUUAGUCCAAGCAAACAGAGGCAAGAUGACCGUAUCUUGACCUAAGGACAGAGCUAUUUUUUCCCGUGGCUGAAGAGCUGUAAAAGAACAAGUUGAUGGAUUAUAUGAGGCUGGAUGGCAUAACAACAGUGAGGAUCAUUUGAUAGUGGCAAUGCAGCGAAGCCACCUUUCUGGGGUGGUGAUCUUGCAAAUUUCUCAGUUCUGGACAUCAACGACGUUGUCCUGGAGAACGGAGGAUGCGGGCGCGGGACGAAGAGUGGACUACUGUCCAUGCAUGGAUGCCGACUUUUCGGCGUCACAAUCGAUCAGCGCCAAGAAUGAUGAAGACACGAGCUUGGUAGAUGGAAGGAUUAGCAACGCCAAGGCGUCAAUGCUAUGCAAGAAGAACAUGCGAUGCGAGCAAAGCACCACCAACAAUUUUUAAUUUUUUUAUUUUUUUAUCGAACGCGCAGGAGAACUGCACAUCUUAUAUAUUAGAGAGGAAUAAAAAACCUUACAAAAAGGAGAUUUUGCUGGGCAAGUCUCUCAAGGCCCCCACACAAAAACCCGAAGGAAAUUACAAACUGGAACCGUAACUUGACCCGACCUCGGCCAGAGCUACAACUAAGCCUAGGCUCUCAAGCUCCUUAGCUCCUGCUAUUGCCCAGCUAACACACUCAUCUUUGUUUUUAUAAUGAUAGAUGAGAAGGUUGAGUUCUAUAGUUCUUUUAUCUUUGUUUUUCAGGUACAAUUCUUAUAGUUCUUUUUAUCUUUGUUUUUAGGUACAAGUCAUAUAGUUCCAUAACUCUAUGCCAUGCUUUUGGAGUAUCUGGAGCGAUACAGCACUUGGCAGGAAUGAUCGAAUGAGACUCGAAGGUUAAUAAAGAUGUUGAUGCCCCCAUAUUUCAGGUUGCAGAUUACGGAGUGGUUGCUGAUCUGUUUGAGGUUCUGGAUGAGUUACUGAAGCAGAUCCCAAAGAAGAAAUAAGCGACCGUUAAUUUGUUGCUGAUGUUUUCCCUUUUUCUGAAGAAGGAACCUUUGGAAUAUUGGUGAUUGGCCUGAAGAAGGUAGAAAGGGUGGUCUGGAUCAACGACAAAGGUUAAAUAAGACAAUUUUCUUGUU